rnacentral:rRNA from 1 species
GAAUAUUGCACAAUGGGCGCAAGCCUGAUGCAGCGACGCCGCGUGGGCGAUGAAGGUCUUCGGAUCGUAAAGCCCUUUUCUGUGUGACGAGAUCAAGGACGGUAGCACAGGAAUAAGUCUCGGCUAACUACGUGCCAGCAGCCGCGGUAAAACGUAGGAGGCAAGCGUUAUCCGGAGUUACUGGGCGUACAGCGCGUGUAGGCGGUGCAGCAGGUCAGAUGUGAAAGCUCCCAGGCUUAACCGGGAGAGGUCAUUUGAAACCGCUGCGCUUGAGGAUGAUAGAGGGAUGUGGAAUUCCGGGUGUAGUGGUGAAAUGCGUAGAUAUCCGGAGGAACACCAGUGGCGAAGGCGGCAUCCUGGGUCAUUUCUGACGCUGAGACGCGAAAGCAUGGGGAGCGAACGGG